UCGUGUAUUCGAAGCUAAGGGCGAGCUAACCACUACACCAAGGAGACGCCUGAACGAACACACUAAAGGGAAUCUGUAUCUUCAUCCAUCAACUCAGUAUCUACAGCAAGAAAAGGAUAAACAAAAAAUACUAAUGAUAGAAAUUUUACAAGCCGAGUCGACGGUGGCGCCAUCAGCUGAGCGGCGGCGAAGCAACGAAACAGUGGUCAGUCUGGAGCAAACCAUCACAAGGGAAGGACGUCUCGCUACCCGGCUCCCGUUUCUACCUUAAAAUCCACCAUUCCUACAUACCUUUUCCCCUGUGGCUCUUAAUCACUUCAAUCUACACUCAUUAAGACAGGACCUGUAAUUGUAAUGGUGGACUCAGCGAUGGAUAUGUGGCACCCAAGUGGAUCAAGGAGUAUGUGGAAGAGCUAGCUAUGUGGAGGCGUGGACGGAGAGACAAGUGAUAUUUGAAGGAGACGAGGCACUGGAGAGCUGCAGCAAGGAGGACCAGGUGGUGACGAAGCAGGUGUCCAGCACAUGUCCCGGAGAGCUGCUGCAGGGAGGGCCGGAGGGCGGUGACGAAGAUGAUGUCCACGACGCACCAAGCAAGCCGGCAGCUGAAAGAAGAACAGCAUUUGUACCAGACAUACGGAAGGUGACGUAAAAGGGACAGCCUGACCAAUAUUGUAAAGCAAACUCAUUAAAUGUCGCAAAAAGAAUCACCCAUGAAAUCUAAUCUUAAAAAAUCUUUCAGCUGCUGGCCGCCCCUGCUGUACUGCAAGUUAUGCUGCCACACCACUGUACACUAGAUUCAAGGGUAACUAAACCACUCGAUACAUUACCAACCUUAACUUUAAUUAGGCAAAAGUAGCUUAAACAAUACAUUACCAGCCUUCACCCCACUAUCAUUAAAACAGUAGGUCUAUAUCUUUCAUUUCCUAGGCCUAAGCACUCACUCACUUUUACCACUCAAUACAUUACC